CAGCAGUGAGGAAUAUUGGUCAAUGGGCGCGAGCCUGAACCAGCCAAGUAGCGUGCAGGACGACGGCCCUAUGGGUUGUAAACUGCUUUUAUACGGGGAUAAAGUAUGCCACGUGUGGUUUAUUGCAGGUACCGUAUGAAUAAGGACCGGCUAAUUCCGUGCCAGCAGCCGCGGUAAUACGGAAGGUCCGGGCGUUAUCCGGAUUUAUUGGGUUUAAAGGGAGCGUAGGCCGGGUUUUAAGCGUGCCGUGAAAUGUCGGGGCUCAACCUUGACACUGCGGCGCGAACUGGAGUCCUUGAGUGCGCGGAACGUAUGCGGAAUUCGUGGUGUAGCGGUGAAAUGCUUAGAUAUCACGAAGAACCCCGAUUGCGAAGGCAGCAUACGGCAGCGCUACUGACGCUGAAGCUCGAAGGCGCGGGUAUCGAACAGGAUUAGA
rnacentral:rRNA from 1 species